AUUGAACGCUGGCGGCAUGCCUUACACAUGCAAGUCGAACGGUAACAGGUCUUCGGAUGCUGACGAGUGGCGAACGGGUGAGUAAUACAUCGGAACGUGCCCGAUCGUGGGGGAUAACGGAGCGAAAGCUUUGCUAAUACCGCAUACGAUCUACGGAUGAAAGCAGGGGACCGCAAGGCCUUGCGCGGACGGAGCGGCCGAUGGCAGAUUAGGUAGUUGGUGGGAUAAAAGCUUACCAAGCCGACGAUCUGUAGCUGGUCUGAGAGGACGACCAGCCACACUGGGACUGAGACACGGCCCAGACUCCUACGGGAGGCAGCAGUGGGGAAUUUUGGACAAUGGGCGAAAGCCUGAUCCAGCCAUGCCGCGUGCAGGAUGAAGGCCUUCGGGUUGUAAACUGCUUUUGUACGGAACGAAAAGACUCUUACUAAUAAAGAGGGUCCAUGACGGUACCGUAAGAAUAAGCACCGGCUAACUACGUG
rnacentral:rRNA from 1 species